rnacentral:misc_RNA from 1 species
UAUUAUUAUUAUUAUUAUUAUUUUACAUAGUGCUAAGAGUAUUUGGUAUACAUGAUUGCUUUUCACUUUGAAAUAUUCUUGUUCUUCUAUUUAUCAAGUGUGCAUGGGUGUGCACAUAUGGAUAUGUCAUGUUUUGCCAUCCAUUCUUUUAGCUUUGGUUGGUCAAUAAUUUGUACUGCUUGUGUUUCUAAGACUCUACUAAGUCUCUGAGCAUACUGAUCAUGGAUGCAGAAGAGAAACCUGUUGAACCAGAUAACAUGAAGGAGCGGGUAGUUAUAUAUACUUUUAAUCUCAAUUGAUUUAUUGUUUGCUUCUAUGUGGAUCAGUUUAAAGAAAAUAUUUUUAGUGACAACUCUUAUUUGUUAACUCUUAUCAGCCUCUUUCUGCAAAAAAUGAGACAUCAGUUUCUCCCAAUUCCUCUCAGGAUACUGCCAUUAUAGGUCACCGGAGGGACAUCACUGGUCACUUGGGGCCUUUUGGUUCACCUGGAGAUCGUACCAUCUAUCCUUCUAAUGUUUAUGCCCCUCAGGCACAAGCAUUCUACUAUAGAGGUUAUGAUAAUGCCAUUGGUGAAUGGGAUGAAUAUCCUCCAUAUGUCAAUACUGAAGGGUUAGAAAUUGGAUCAUCUGGUGUCUACAAUGACAAUGGUUCCAUUUUAUUCCAUGCUGGAUUUGGCUAUGGUCCGCAAAUGCCAUAUGGACCAUAUUCUCCAGUCACAACACCUUUGCCUUCUGUAGGUGGUGAUGCUCAGUUAUACUCCCCCCAGCAAUUUCCAUUUUCUGGCCCUUAUUACCAGCAAUUAGGUCCUCCUAGUACGCCAUAUAUUACUUCACCAACACCAGUUUCACAACCAGACACCUUAGCAAGUGUUGACCAACAAGGUGAUAACAUGCUUUUUGGACCAAGGCCUAGUUAUCCUCCUCUUCUAGGAUCCUUUGGUGGAGGCAAUUUUCCUGGGAAUCUUGGUACCCUUGGUUUUCAUGAUUUGCAACAGGGGUUUGAUGGACUGAGGUCUGGAGGACUUUGGUCAGAUUGGUCCAAGCCCUCUGAUAGACAUAGGCCCUUGACUCCCUUAUCACCUGCAGUUUCUCCACAGCCAAUUGGCACUUUUGGGUCAUAUGGGCAUAAUGUUGGAAUGGUUUGUUCUCUUGCCACUUUAUUUUUAUUGUUGCAUGUUCUCUGGGGAUCUCAUGCUUGCCCCUUUAUUUUCCUGACGAAGUAUAAUGUGCAUCCUUUUCUUCUAUUUGUAUUGAAUAUGUAUAAAUUGGCAAGCUGUAUAAGCAAGCAUGUGUUAUUUUAAUGGAUUGAAUUUGUGCCAAAAAGUUAUAAUGAUUUAUUUAUAUACUAUCUGAAUUAGUAUUACAAGUAUGCAGUGCAUGACGGCAUGUAGACAAUUUAGCGGUCCUAGGGUGCCGUGAUUCUGAUUCUUAGCUUUAUUUUUCAAAAGGGCCAUUGUUUUCCCAUUUGUUAUCAAUAACUAUGUCAAGCCAUAAUGGCUUUUUGGGGGCAAAAAUUUCCAUUGUGUCAUCUCACGGUCAUGGGGUUGGUUAUCUUGAUUCUUUGGAAUUCAAAUAUAGCAACAUAUUAUUCUGUGCUGUUGUGAUAAAGGUUGUGUGCAUAUGAUAAUAGAGUAUCCUUAACAAUGUGUCUAAGCCUUUUUAUGAUUUAACCAGAUUUGAAUGAUGAAAUUCAAUGUUUAUAUUGUAUUUUGUACUUUAAUCUGUAGGAUGAUUGGUCUUGAUCAAUAUGAUGAUCUCCCCAACAGACUUGGCUUGCUUUUUCAUACAUUUGUUGCCAUGAUAGCAACUUUGGCUUAUAUUUCGUGUUCGCGUGACUUUGGCAUUAUUAUUGUUGAUAGUGGGAAGUGGUGAACACUAGCAUCAUCCUCUGGAGCAUAGUCUAAUGAGGUAGGCUUGUGGUUUUAGAAUGGAUGCUGACAAAUUGUUUUUGUUUUUGUAGGCAUCUCAACAACAAAGAUCAUUUUAUGGCAUUGGAUCUGGUUCAAACUCCUACACUAGAGGCUACAUGCACAGUGGUUUAAAUCAGGGAUCUGGAUUUGGGAGUGCUUCCAUUUCUAGUUUAGGGACGAACAGCAGGGGCUGGCUUUCCCAUGAAAACAGCAGGCGGCUGGGGAGGGCCAGUACUUCUCUAUGCGGCUGUAAUGGUAGUCUUGAUAUCCUUAGUGAGCAAAACCGAGGACCAAGGGCCUCAAAGCCUAAGAGUCAAAAUACAGCUGAACACACUUCUUCUGUUGAUAAUAACAAAUAUAGCAAAUCCACUGCGAAGAUUCAUGUUGAGCUGUAUAACCGACCAGAUUUUGUCACUGAAUACAAGGACGCUAAAUUCUUUAUCAUCAAAUCAUACAGUGAAGAUAAUGUCCACAAGAGCAUCAAAUAUGGUGUCUGGGCCAGCACACCAAAUGGGAACAGAAAAUUGGAUGCUGCUUAUCGUGAAUGUAAGGAAAAGCAAGACCCUUGCCCAGUUUUCCUCUUCUUUUCGGUAAAUAUCUGACUCUCAAUGCUCAUAGAAUAGCAGGUUAAGUUGAAGAUGAAUUGAGUUGCAACACUUGAAAUGAUGAUGAUGAUUAGGUGAUUCCUGAUGAAUGAAGCCACUCAAAUAAACUGUUCCUUGGGCUCCAUUUAUUUCAGUGCAGUUCUAGAGUCUAGGAAAAGGAAAAAUGAUGAACCCCUUUUUGGUUUGGAACUCCUUAAAUAUGUCAAUUUCAGUUACUCAGACUGAUGUCAGUUUAUUUUUUCAGUUGCAUUUUCAUAGACAUCUUUUUGUCAGUCCUGAAGAAUACUUUUCUAAGAAAAAAGUGGUGGUUUUGGCUCCAUUAUUUACAUCUAUUUUGACAAAAUGUGUGCAGUCUAUUUGCUUCUUUUUGUGUAGGCAUCUUUUGUAAUGCGUUUAGAUUUCUAGUUAUCAGAAGUUUGGAAUUGAGCCCUCUCAAAGUCUGAGGGAAACUUUAGUUUCUUCUUUAUCUUUGUUCUGUACUUCUGUACUUCUAAUCUUGUUGCUUGCUUUUGAUAUUUUAUAAUCUUCUUGCAAAUCUAGUCAUUAUUCUUAUAUGCAGGUGAAUGCUAGUGCUCAGUUCUGUGGGGUGGCUGAAAUGGUUGGGCCCGUUGAUUUUGACAAGAGUGUGGAUUACUGGGAGCA